ensembl:lncRNA
GUGAGUGUGCACAGUGCAUGCAUGCAGCUGCUUUGCGUGUGUGUGUGCACAUCGUGCAUGCGUGCAGCUGCUUUGCAUGUGAGUGUGUGGCCAUGUUGCAUUCAUGCAGCUCCUUUGCUUGUGUGUGUGCACGUAGUGCAUGCAUGCAGCUGCUUUGCAUGUGGAUGUGUGCACAGUGCAUGCUUGCAGCUCCUUUGCAUGUGUGUGUGCACAGUGCAUGCAUGCAGUUCCUUUGCACGGGGGGUGCACACAGCGCAUGCAUGCAGCUGCUUUGCAUGUGGGUGUGUGCACAUCGUGCAUGCAUGCAGCUCUUCUGUAUGUGGGUUUGCAUAUAAUGCAUGCAUGCAGCUCCUUUGCUUGGGGGUGUGUGCAUAUAGUGCAUGCAUGCAGCUGCUUUGCGUGUGUGUGUGCACGUAGUGCAUGCAUGCGGAUGAUUUGCAAGUGUUUGUGCACACAGUGCAUGCAUGCAGCUGCUUUGCAUGUGGGUGUGCACAGCUCCUUUGCAUGUGUGUGUGCACCUCGUGCAUGCAUGCAGCUGCUUUGCAUAUGAGUGUGUGCACAUAGUGCAUGCAUGCAGCUCUUUUGCAUGUGGGUGUGCACAUAGUGCAUGCAUGGAGCUGCUUUGCAUGUGAGUGUGUGGCCAUAUUGCAUGCAUGCAGCUGCGUUGCAUGUGGGUGUGCCCAUGGUGAAUGCAUGCAGCUGCUUUGCACGUGAUUAUGUGCACAUUGUGCAUGCAUGCAGCUCCUUUGAAUGUGUGUGUGCACGUGGUGCAUGCAUGCAGCUCUUUUGCAUGUGUGUGUGCACAUCGUGCAUGCAUGCAGCUCCUUUGCAUGUGGGUCUGAACAUACUGCAUGCAUGCAUCUGAUUUGCAUGUGAGUGUGCACAGUGCAUGCAUGCAGCUCCUUUGCAUGUGGGCGUGCACAGCUGCUUUGCAUGUGUGUGCACAUAAUGCAUGCGUGCAGCUGCUUUGCAUGUGUGCGUGCACAUCGUGCAUGCAUGCAGCUCUUCUGUAUGUGGGUUUGCAUAUAAUGCAUGCAUGCAGCUCCUUUGCUUGGGGGUGUGUGCAUAUAGUGCAUGCAUGCAGCUGCUUUGCGUGUGUGUGUGCACGUCGUGCGUGCAUGCAGCUCCUUUGCAUGUGAGUGUGCCCAUGGUGCAUGCAUGCAGCUGCUUUGCACGUGAUUAUGUGCACUUUGUGCAUGCGUGCAGCUCCUUUGCAUGUGUAUGUGCACGUAGUGCAUGCAUGCAGCUCUUUUGUAUGUGGGUCUGCACAUCGUUCAUGCAUGGAGCUCCUUUCCAUGAGGUGUGUGCACGUGGUUCAUGCAUGCAGCUCUUUUGCAUCUGUGUGUGCACAUAGUGCAUGCAUGCAGCUCCUUUGCACGUGAGUGUGUGCACAUAGUGCAUGCUUGCAGCUGCUUUGCAUGUGGGUGUGUGAACAUUGUGCAUGCAUGCAGCUGCUUUGUACGUGAGUGUGCACAGUGCAUGCAUGCAGCUCUUUUGCAUCUGUGUGUGCACAUAGUGCAUGCAUGCAGCUCCUUUGCAUGUGGAUGUGUGCACAGUGUAUGCAUGCAGCUCCUUUGCAUGUGUGUGCGCCCGUGGUGCAUGCAUGCAGCUGCUUUGCAUGUGGGUGUGCACAUAGUGCAUGCAUGCAGCUGCUUUGCAUGUGGGUGUGUGAACAUUGUGCAUGCAUGCAGCUGCUUUGUACGUGAGUGUGCACAGUGCAUGCAUGCAGCUCUUUUGCAUCUGUGUGUGCACAUAGUGCAUGCAUGCAGCUCCUUUGCAUGUGGAUGUGUGCACAGUGUAUGCAUGCAGCUCCUUUGCAUGUGGAUGUGUGCGCAUAGUGCAUGCAUGCAGCUCUUUUGCAUGUGAGUGCGUGCACAGUGCAUGCCUGCAGCUCCUUUACAUGUGUGUGUGCACAGUGCAUGCAUGCAGCUCCUUUGCAUGUGUGUGUGCACAUAGUGCAUGCAUGGAGCUCCUUUGACUGCCGUGUGUGUGUUUGCACAUGGUGCCGAUGCAUGCAGCUCCUUUGCAUGUGUGUGUUUGCAAGGGGGCUGUGAGAACCCCUUGGUGCCACCCCAUGGCAUCGGUGUCCUCUUGUUGGCACCCCAUGGCAUCGGUGACCCCUUGCUGCCAC